AUUGAACGCUGGCGGCAUGCCUUACACAUGCAAGUCGAACGGUAACAGGUUAAGCUGACGAGUGGCGAACGGGUGAGUAAUAUAUCGGAACGUGCCCAGUCGUGGGGGAUAACUGCUCGAAAGAGCAGCUAAUACCGCAUACGACCUGAGGGUGAAAGCGGGGGAUCGCAAGACCUCGCGCGAUUGGAGCGGCCGAUAUCAGAUUAGGUAGUUGGUGGGGUAAAGGCCCACCAAGCCAACGAUCUGUAGCUGGUCUGAGAGGACGACCAGCCACACUGGGACUGAGACACGGCCCAGACUCCUACGGGAGGCAGCAGUGGGGAAUUUUGGACAAUGGGCGCAAGCCUGAUCCAGCCAUGCCGCGUGCGGGAAGAAGGCCUUCGGGUUGUAAACCGCUUUUGUCAGGGAAGAAAAGGUUCUGGUUAAUACCUGGGACUCAUGACGGUACCUGAAGAAUAAGCACCGGCUAACUACGUGCCAGCCGCCGCCGUAA
rnacentral:rRNA from 1 species